AAAACACGCACACUAAACUGAAGAACUGAAAACCCUUAAGCCGGCCAUCGUUCGUCUCCAGCCACGUGCCACCAUUCGUCUCCACCCACAGUCGUGCGCUCUCCACCUCACCAUUCCUUUCCUGAUUCCUUUCAAUCACACAAAUUUAUAGAAGAAGUGUUAAAGAAGAUAUUUGAAGAACUUGGUGAUGAUGUCUUUUCUAUAUUAGUUGAUGAAUCGAGAGAUAUUUCUAGAAAGGAACAAAUGGCUGUGGUUUUGAGGUAUGUUGAUAAAUUAGGAUUUGUGAAGGAGCAUUUUAUCGGUCUUGUUCAUGUUAAAGAAACAACCGCUUUAUCCAGGGGUGGAUUUUACUUUUGAUGAAAAGACGAUCUUAUUGAUGAACUCGGCCACUACAUUCGUAAUGUGAAAAAAGAUAGUCGAUUUAACAACUUGAAUGGGAUAAGUUAUCUUGCCAAAAAGAUGGUGAAAACAAGAAAACACAUUGAUUAUCAAUUGGUUUAUUGAUUAAUGAAGUUGUCACUAGUUUUACCGGUUGCAAUGGCAAGCGUUGAAAGAAGUUUUUCUUUAAUGAAGCAUGUAAAAACGGAAUUACGUAAUAGGAUGGGUGACGGAUACAUGAACGAUUCUUGCAUUUGCUACGUUGAAAGAGAGUUUUUACAACAAAUUUCUAUCGAGAAUGUAAUGCAACAUUUUCAAAAGAUGAAACCUCGUAGGGAACAACUUUAGCAGGACAUUGAGCUAUAUAUUCUAUAUUUUUGUUGAUACGCGGAAAUUCAGUGAAGUAGUGAUGGAGGCAAAAGCAGCAGGUUACACUGAACCAGACCCUAGAGAUGAUCUUGUUGGGGAACCAGGUGAUAAUCCUUACUAGAGAAUGUGGUCUAAAUCUUGAACUUUCAGAUAUCACUAUUUCAAAGCCUUGUGCCAGAUCCAAUAAAGGUGAGGAGUUUACGUUUAUCCAACCAAGCCUCUGGAAAAACAUAUCUUGUUUAUGAAGAUGAGAGAAAAGGGAUGGUGAUUUGUAGUUUAUUUUAAAAGAAAACUAAUUUUAAAAUAACUAAAAUGAUCAAAAAGCCCUCACAUGCCUUGCAUGUAAGGGGUGUUAACCAGAAAAACAAAUGAAGUUAAUAUGAA